rnacentral:rRNA from 1 species
AUUGAACGCUAGCGGCAUGCCUUACACAUGCAAGUCGAACGGCAGCGGGGGAGCUUGCUCCCGCCGGCGAAUGGCGAACGGGUGAGUAAUACAUCGGAACGUACCCAGUAGCGGGGGAUAGCCCGGCGAAAGCCGGAUUAAUACCGCAUACGCCCUACGGGGGAAAGGGGGGGAUCGCAAGACUCCUCACUAUUUGAACGGCCGAUGGCUGAUUAGCUAGUUGGUGGGGUAAAGGCCUACCAAGGCGACGAUCAGUAGCUGGUCUGAGAGGACGACCAGCCACACUGGGACUGAGACACGGCCCAGACUCCUACGGGAGGCAGCAGUGGGGAAUUUUGGACAAUGGGCGAAAGCCUGAUCCAGCAAUGCCGCGUGUGCGAAGAAGGCCUUCGGGUUGUAAAGCACUUUUGUCAGGGAAGAAAUCGUUUGGGUUAAUACCCCGAGCAGUUGACGGUACCUGAAGAAUAAGCACCGGCUAACUACGUGCCAGCAGCCGCCGUAA